GUGGGCUUACAAAGCCGCCUCUAGUUAUAAAACCUGACAACCUUCCUUCUACCAGAUAUUAACCUUCAUUUUGGUACUGGGUCGUUGGGUAUAAAUUGGACAUUGUAAGGGCAGAAAUUCAAGUCCCUGAAGAGAUGGGAGUUUGUUUUGUUUUCAUCGGUGGCGUAGCCACUAUAAGUUGCCUGUGCUUCUGCAAAUCUCCAAGUGCUCCAGUUGUUCCAAUGUAAACGCUGCCAUCUGUCCAUUGACUGUGGAAAUUUCAUCACCGUCUCCAGUGAAACAGCAUUCAUCUAUGUUGGGGCUGCCUUCUAACCACCCAAUAAGAUAUUAAAGUUCAAAUGUGGAGGCUGCAUGGAACAUCCAUCUGUCAACAUGACUGAGCAGGAGGCGCUGGGGGAAACAGUUCAGAAAGUGUGUCCUGGCAAUCAGCUGUCCCAAAGGAGUGACUGGAGUAAAGGAAUCGAAGGACCUGUUUAAAGGGCUCUGCCAGUUUGAUUUGUGAACCUCCCAAACUUCUCUAAGUACUUGAUGAAUCUCAAGGUCCACACACUUGAAUCACAGGAUUUAGACCCAAUGAAGGGAGAUGAGUGUGGGGCAGAGCUGGAGCUGCAGACAGGAGGGUAUGCUAUGAACCAGCCACUUUCAAAUUACAAGAACUCAGUGUACAGGACCACCUCCUGCUCAGGAUGACUCUGCUGACAGUGAGUUGGGCCUCCCAUCAAUCAUUAUUCAAGAAAACACCACAGCCACGACCUCAGGCCAAUCUGAUGGUGGCAACUCCUCAAUUGAGGGUCCUUCUUUCCAGGCUCACAACAAACUGAACUGGAAAGAGAGAUCUGGCCCCAGAGGUCGGAUAGGAGAUGAGACUGAUAAAAGGAAGGCAGUCGGGUCCCAGCUCAUCUCAAAGGGCAGCUCGGCAAGUCGGCCAUCUCUACUGAAUGGUCCAAGCCACAGGUCAGAGGCCCUACAUCAAGUCAUCAUUGGAAAUCUCUCUGUGAUCUUGAGGCAACUGUUUCCAACUGAAGGGAAUUCCUGAAGAGAAACCUAGCUAGCCGUCAAAUGAAAUUAAAAUGGAUCUUAGACCUAAUUAUAAAACCCAAAACUAUGAAACUCUUAGACAAAAUCUUGGGAACAAAUAUCUGUGUCCUUGGGCAAAGAUUUCUUAGAUGAGAUACCAAAAGCAUGAGCCAUGAAAGUAGCCGUUAUUAAAUUAGAUUUCACCAAAUUGAAAACUUCUGCUCUUCUGAAGACACUGCUGAUUGAACAAAGGGAACUUACCAAGACUGGAGAAAGUACUGUCAGAAUCAUAAAAUACAAGAAAAUUACGUAUACCCCAAAUACAUUUUCAAAAGAACUUUCAAUACCCUGUAAUAAGAAACAAGCAGUGUACCAUACAAAUGAACAAAAUAUUUAAGUA